AAUAAAACAAAAUAAAAAAACAUAAAAUUUUAUCUAAAACCUAAACUAAUUUAAAAUAAAAACUCACGUGACCUAUAAAAAAAAAGAAUAGAAAUUGGAAAGCUACUAAAAAAAUUAAACCUUGCCUCUGCCAUGCAUUUCUCAUCUCCUACCAAAAAUAACGUUGAGGACUUGGAAUAAAAGUGCUUCCUUUUCUUCAAAUCAACAAGAAAAACGUAAUAGAGUGCAUUUCCAAAAAGGC
rnacentral:lncRNA from 1 species